GUCAAACGGAACAAAUCUCAAGAUCUUUUUUAUUAGGAUAAAAAAAUUCAUUUAUUUUAUCAUCUUUUUGAAGCUGCCCUUUCCACCACCAUCACCUACCAGUAACACAAUAGGUUCUGCACCAUUCAUAGAUAAAAAACCAAAGCUUUGUUUGCAUCUCUUUCUCUCUUAUGAAGCUUGUAAUCCUAAAAGUUUUGGUCCACUUAUUUUAAUUUUGUUUUUGGUUUUUGCUAUGAAAUUUGUAAUCUGGAUGGGUUAUCGGGAACGAAGAAGGAGAUUCGAGUGUAGAACCACCGCGGCUAUGGCUCCAACGACUUCAUAUUUUUAGCUCGGAAAGCCGAAGAGAGGGAAAGUAGAUGAUGGAGCGGCUGUAAUGGUGGUGGUUCUGGUUCCAUCGUUGAUGGUCGGCCGGACCGGAGGUGGUACAACGUUAUGUGGUGGCUGAGGUGAUGGUGGCCGGGAACUCAAAUAAGGUUGCACCAUACCAUUCGCUACCGCUCGCUGCCGCUCUUCUUUAUACGAUCUUUCAACUUUUCCGAUUCACUUUCUCAGAGUGAUGCAUUUGAUGGUGUAAUUUUUAGAGAGAGAAAGAUGAAAGAGAAAAGUGAAAUAUGGUGGAAACAAUGAUUUAUGCCGGUAUUAUGAAUUUAUGAUGCUGUUGUGUGAAAUUGUAAAAUGAGAAAAUUAAAUGUGGCUAAAAUCUAAAAGCUCAAAAGUCACUGGCGCAAUCAUACGAUGUGUUUUGAUAUAUAUAAUAAAAUUC
rnacentral:lncRNA from 1 species